ensembl:lncRNA
GUGACAUUUGCUAAGUACUGUGUUCCAGGCAGUGAUUUAUGAGAGUUAUUUGUAUCAUCACCUAUGGGUCAAUGCUACUGCUAUAUCUAUCUACUUUACCUAGGAGGCGACUGAGGGUCAGAGCAUGAGGGAAUUUGCUCAGGGUCACCAAUGAGGUCACUCAGGCAAGCACAGGCUCCUCUACAACAUGGAUGGGGCUGCCUUGCCAGCCGGGGCCUGAAAAUGCACCCAGGUGGACAGAAUCCCAAGUCCCUGGACAACCUGUGAAAUGCUAGCUGCCUGUGAACAGAUGAAAGGGAGGACAGGCAAUUGUCCUGGAAGGACGGAUCUGCAGACAGGACCUCCCCCAACUUUGACCGUGUACAUCGCGGGGUCUGCUUUCCCAGUCUGACCCCUGCCAGUGACAGCAGAGCUGUGAACCCUGGAAUACUGACA